CUCCAGCAGCGCGGCCAUUGCCCUGUUCUUCCCCUCCUCGCCCGCCCCAACUCCUCACCCCCAGCCUCCUCCACCUCGAGGAGGACAACUCCGAUUUGGACCUCAAGUACUGCCUCCCCGACACCUCCAUCCCCAAGUACAUCCUCCCGUCAGACGAGGACUAGAUUUGGAUUGAGGCACAACAGAGACGAGGAAGGACAAAGCAUGAAUAGCUCCAGUGAGAGUGAAUGGAUAUGAACACCAGAACCCUCUCAGAGGAUGUUGGCUGACCGGGAUACCCAAUUCUCAAACAAGCAUGCUGAGAUGCUCAAGAUAUGGAAGUUCGCCCACAAGCUCAGCCACCAAGUUUUUUUGGUUCAUGUUCAAUGGGAGGCGAAGAGUGUAGAGAGGGUAUCUGAUGUAGGUCCAAGGUAAACAUUUGUUUCUUUUAUUGUGUUGUGCA